GUUUGGCAGGGCGGGGCGCCUCGCGAAGAUGGUGGCGCGCGUGGCGUGUGGCUCCCGUCGUCUGGCCAAGUCUCAGCGCAGCGCACCGGCCGGCGUCUCGUUGGCCUGGAGCCCACACCCACCGGGUCCCUGACCCCGCGCCCCCCGCGCCCGGUUCCCGGCAUGCCUCGCGCCCGUAAGGGCAACACGCUCCGGAAGGGUGGUCAGCGCCGUGGAGGAGGUGCCCGGAGCAGUGCCCAAGCUGACUCGGGUUCCAGUGACGAUGAGGCAGCCAGUGAGGCCCGCAGCACCGCCAGUGAAUGCCCCAGCCUUCUCAGCACCACUGCAGAGGACAGCCUUGGUGAGAGCGGGUGGAAGUUUGACAGGGGCUUGGUGAGGGCUCCAUGGGCUGAGGACAAGAAGCGGUGCUGACCAGGUGGCCUUGCAGGGGGGGAUGUCGUGGAUGAGCAGGGCCAGCAGGAAGACCUUGAGGAAAAGCUGAAGGAGUAUGUGGACUGUCUCACAGACAAGAGGUACCCCUGGCUGCCAGCCAACUCCUACACCCAGCUCCAAGUGUGAUCAAGGGAGGGCUGGCCCAUAUGACCCCCCUUCUCGACCUCCCCCAGUGCCAAGACCCGGCAGGGUGCUCUUGAGAGCCUGCGCCUGGCCCUAGCGUCCCGCCUACUCCCCGACUUCUUGCUGGAGCGCCGCCUCACGCUAGCCGAUGCCCUGGAAAAGUGCCUCAAGAAAGGUUGGACCUGGGGGUGUGUGGGAGACUUAAACUGGGCAGACACUGGCCCUUGCUGCAUGGGCUGACUGGAAAGCAUCCCACAGGGAAGGGCGAGGAACAAGCCCUGGCUGCUGCUGUGCUAGGCCUGCUCUGCGUGCAGCUGGGCCCUGGACCUAAGGGUG
rnacentral:lncRNA from 1 species